rnacentral:rRNA from 1 species
GACGAACGCUGGCGGCGUGCUUAACACAUGCAAGUCGAGCGGAAAGGCCACUUCGGUGGUACUCGAGCGGCGAACGGGUGCGUAACACGUGAGUAAUCUGCCCCUCACUUUGGGAUAGCCACCGGAAACGGUGAUUAAUACCGGUUAUGACCAUAUGUCGCAUGGCGUGUGGUGGAAAGUUUUUCGGUGAGGGAUGUGCUCGCGGCCUAUCAGCUUGAUGGUGAGGUAAUGGCUCACCAUGGCUUCGACGGGUAGCCGGCCUGAGAGGGUGACCGGUCACACUGGGACUGAGACACGGCCCAGACUCCUACGGGAGGCAGCAGUGGGGAAUAUUGGACAAUGGGCGGAAGCCUGAUCCAGCAACGCCGCGUGAGGGAUGACGGCCUUCGGGUUGUAAACCUCUUUCAGUACCGACGAAGCGCAAGUGACGGUAGGUACAGAAGAAGCACCGGCCAACUACGUG